UGGAUUUCAUAUAAGAAGACACCUUUUGGGACAACUUACGUGAUGUUAACAAGGAAGGAUAAAGUCUCCGAGAGUGUUCAGCCUACCUUUGCACUGUACCAGAAGAGUCUCGUUGCUGUCUGGAGGAUGACCACAUAGGAAGCAGACAUUCAGUGUGGGCUAGAAAACUUGGAAGAGCUUUUAUUCAAGAUGAAUGUCUUACAAGG